CAGUAGCCGCGGGAAUACGAAGGGUGCAAGCGUUGCUCGGAAUUACUGGGCGUAAAGCGUGCGUAGGUGGUGGUUUAAGUCCGUUGUGAAAGCCCUGGGCUCAACCUGGGAAUUGCAGUGGAUACUGGGUCACUAGAGUGUGGUAGAGGAUAGUGGAAUUUCCGGUGUAGCAGUGAAAUGCGUAGAGAUCGGAAGGAACAUCUGUGGCGAAGGCGACUAUCUGGGCCAACACUGACACUGAGGCACGAAAGCGUGGGGAGCAAACAGGAUUAGAUACCCCCGUAGUCCCUGUCUCUUAUAC
rnacentral:rRNA from 1 species